CGCUGGAUGCAGAGGUUUAUCGAUCGAUUCAUGCUUGCUUUCGAAACAAAAAAAAUGGAUUCACAGGAAUUGAUCGAUGAACCGCUGCCUCCAGC